rnacentral:rRNA from 1 species
UACAGAGGGGGCAAGCGUUGUUCGGAAUUACUGGGCGUAAAGGGCGCGUAGGCGGCCUGCUAAGUCGAACGUGAAAUCCCUGGGCUCAACCCAGGAACUGCGUCCGAUACUGGAUGGCUUGAGUUCGGGAGAGGGAUGCGGAAUUCCAGGUGUAGCGGUGAAAUGCGUAGAUAUCUGGAGGAACACCGGUGGCGAAGGCGGCAUCCUGGACCGAUACUGACGCUGAGGAGCGAAAGCCAGGGGAGCAAACGGG